UUAUCCCUUAAAAAUGUUUUGCUGUCAACUCAGACUCAACUAACUCAGACUUGCUUUAUUUUUUAGAGUCAGUCUGUUUGUUGAAGACAAAGUCUCCAUCAAGGACCAUUUUCAUUGACAGUCCAUCCAGAUAUGAAAGUCUCAGACUUAAAAUUAAAAAUUGAAGCGGAUUAUGAAAUUCCUGUCCGAUUUCAGCGAUGGAUUUUGGGCAAAGAACUUGUGACGAACAAUUCUCGCACCCUCCAACAGUUAGGGGUGCGGCUCCUGGCUUUCCGUUCUUCCUUUAUCUUGUGGCUCCUGAGUCAUCUAAGCAAGAAGCCUCACAGUCUAGCUUGUCUGAUCCAAAAUUAUUCAAUAACCAACAGAAGUCAACAACAGUUGCGUCUGCACCACUUUUGAGCCUUUCCCAGCAGUGAAACAGAAGACCUCUCUCUGCUUGAAAAACACAACGUCUGGCAUCUCUAAUAUUCUAGAAGAAGUUGUGUGAGUAUCCCUUUCUUUUUCCUUUUUUACCCACUGAAAUUAGUAUUUCAGAACCAUAAUUAGAAUAUCAGGUCUCAAAAGAAAGUAUCCACCUUGAAUAUCUUUGAACGAAUUCAAAUAUCAAAAAACGCCGAAACACUCAUUCAAUAAUUUUAAGGGGCACCUUUUUCCGCAAAUUUUUGGGUUCCCUAGGAGCGUUCGGCGCUUUUCAAAUUCGUUAGAAAAAUAAGCUGGGUGGAUACCUUCUUUUGAAAAAACCUGUAUUAUGUCAGCAUCCUGGUUUAUUUUAAGCGUGUUAUGCUUUUAUUCUAGGGAGGAGGAUAUCUCUGAAGAGUUGGACAAUGCUGAUGCCAGUUUGAUAGAAAAUGAUCAACAGUUGCCAGAACCUGGACCAAGUGUAAUUCAUGAAGCAGAUGACUCGUCAUAGUUGGUAAAUACCUACCCUUAUUCUUCAAUUUAAUAAUGUAAUCGCUUCAAAGCAAAAGUAAAAAAAAAAACUACCUGUGCUAAUUUUAUCUCUCAUGAGUUUGCUAUACGCAAGAUAUUCAGCCAAAGGAAAGCUUCUCUCCAGGUAGAUAGAAUCACAUAAAAAUCAUGCUGCGCUCCUAAAAAAGUCUGAUAUUCACUUUACAGCAAGCAAAUUGCGUAAUUUGUAACACACUUUUUGAAAUUUCCUUGCCCGCUGGCAGUUUUCUUUGCUACUGGCGACAGGUUGCUCAGGAAGAGAUGUAAAAAAAACGUAACAAACAUCUCGCAAAUUUUAUUCAGCAUAUGAUCAUCAAUCGUUAAUUUCCUCCUCAUUGCUUGUUUUUGCAAAAAUGAAAGGUUUUAUCAAAAAAUCAUAUGUAAGCGAAAUUGGUAGCUGUCUGCAAGAAGCAAGAUUGUCUCUUAAUUUCGGGUAGUUUCUCUUGCGUCUCUCUGGGUAAACCUGACUGUUAGUCAGUAAGGACAGCUUGCCAGCAGAUGUGGGAAAAUUGGGAAAAAGCAUGCUAUGAAACUACCGGAUU
rnacentral:lncRNA from 1 species